UCUCUCCAGCUCCAGCGCUUCUGCUGUUUCUUCUUAAGACGAAACCUGAGCAUGAAUGGGAAGAGUUCAUUCGUAAUGCGGCCAGCCCCUGUGGUGUCGAGCUGAGAAAGUCUGUGGUUGUUACUUCCUCCUGCGGGGUGUUUGUGGAUGACCAUCGCUCUCCCGAGAGCACCAGCCUGCGCAGCAGACAGCAUGGUGUGUCCGAGCAGAUGGUGGGCAGUGUCUGGGCAAACGUCGUGGUGUGCCCUGCUCAUGGCCAUGCCCAGCUUUGCCUAUUCGAUGUGCCGUCCCUACGUGCACGUUCCCUGAAUGGCCCUUUACCCCUGGAGCUGCAGAAGGCCAUGGAGCGAGCUGUGAUGCUAGGGUCACCCUCUGCACCCUGACCACCAGUGGGUGCAGAAGCAGAUGCUGGAGGGGCGAAGCAGUGCCAGCAACCACUCUCUUCCUGGAGGAGCAGAGAGGUGGUCCCGACCCGCACCCAGUGCUGCUGUGAGCGCACCCUGAGGGGAGCUGUGUGGCCGGGAUGGUGGACAAGGCUGGGUGCUGGGUGCUGAGGCGGCCCCGUGCUUGCCUCCAGCUCCUUGGUGGCACAGCCCAGCCUUUGAAGCAGCUGAAGCUGGUCCCACCCAGGGGAAUGGCUGAGGAUGGGAUUUGUUCUUUUUCAAAGGCUUUGAUCCCUUGACAGCUGAGCUCGAGUCCAACCUGACUGUCCGCUGAAUCCAGCCCUUUCAUUUUCCCCUCUUUAAGUUUCGAGCUUGCACUUCACAUGCAGUGAGGGCAGGCUUAAGCUUGACUGUCAGAAUAAAAGCCUUUUCUUUCUGUAUCGCUUCCCCUCUGCAGCUCAAACCAGCUCCAACCCCGGCAAUGUCAACUUCAAAGGCUUCCCCAAGCUGCAGCCACACUUGCCUGCAGAGACAAUUUCAGAAUCUCCUGAAGGCAUGAGGAUGUUGGGACGCUGCACGGCCUUUGGCAGCUCCAAGGGGAGAGAGCAGGGCUGCAGGCACUGCUGUGCUGGCAGCCAGAGGGGUGCAGAGCUUGCCCUUGUGCACAGAAACCCUCCGGAGCUCCCCCGGCUGACAUUGGAUCAGAGACAAACAUAAACAAGCGCAGCCCUCCCAAGGCCGAAGGAAAGCCCCAGCUCCCCGGGGAGGCAGAGUUAAUUCCAGGAUGCUGCUGGACAAACUCUAGUGAGGGCUUGGCUGUGGCACAGCUCUCGCUUCCCGUCUUCGUUCUGGGCAACCUUUCUGGUAGGGGAAGUUGUCUAAGAUGCCGAUAAAGAUAAUAAUGUAUGAAGUGA